GGAUCAAAUUUGAAGUAGAGUGGAUAAGAAGGAUCAUCUGGCCCUACUAAACUACACUACUUCGAGUUUGGGCCC
rnacentral:pre_miRNA from 1 species